UGGGGAAUAUUGCACAAUGGGCGGAAGCCUGAUGCAGCGACGCCGCGUGGGGGAUGACGGCCUUCGGGUUGUAAACCCCUUUCGGCAGGGAACAAGCCCCUUGGGGUGAGGGUACCUGCGGAAGAAGCGCCGGCUAACUACGUGCCAGCAGCCGCGGUAAUACGUAGGGCGCGAGCGUUAUCCGGAAUUAUUGGGCGUAAAGAGCUCGUAGGCGGUUUGUCGCGUCUGCUGUGAAAGCCCGGGGCUCAACCCCGGGUCUGCAGUGGGUACGGGCAGGCUGGAGUGCAGUAGGGGAGACUGGAAUUCCUGGUGUAGCGGUGAAAUGCGCAGAUAUCAGGAGGAACACCGAUGGCGAAGGCAGGUCUCUGGGCUGUAACUGACGCUGAGGAGCGAAAGCAUGGGGAGCGAACAGGAUUAGAUACCC
rnacentral:rRNA from 1 species